UGAAAAUAUGAGCUUGCCGCAAAUUUGCGACAAAUUGGUCAAAGGUUUGCCACAACUGUUUGCUGGAAGCCUGUUAUUGAACUCAACCUGUAGGAGGUUUGUUUGUUGUUAUUGACUGGAGGGGAAACAGCUGCGGGCAAAGUUCUGACAGAUCGGUUCCCAAGGGAACAAACUUUUCAGGUUUUCGCCGAUGACCCUCUCUGCAGACUGGACAAUAAGUUGCCAUUUGCCCUUGCAGUGGGAUCCAAACCCAACGGUGAUGUAAGAGGCUGCUGAUUAGCUGAUUGCUGACGGGCCUGGAGCUGGUUGCUGACGGGCUGGUCCUGGGGCUGGCUAAGGAUCAAACUCAUCCUCUUCUUCCAACUGACAGUCAGAUUCCAAAUUGACAGAGACAAAAACAAUCCUAAGGCCCUCUGAGUAAAGAUUAUUUUUGCCAUACUGAUUGAGUGUGGUAAGGAGCCACUAUUAGCCGAUAUUUAUUUGUUGUGUCCCUCUCACAAUUUACACAUGGCUGGGGUAGAGUUGGG
rnacentral:lncRNA from 1 species